rnacentral:rRNA from 1 species
AUUGAACGCUGGCGGCAUGCUUUACACAUGCAAGUCGAACGGCAGCGGGGAGCUUCUUGCUUCUCUGCCGGCGAGUGGCGUACGUGUGAGCAAUACAUCUGCACGUUCCUAGAAGAUGGCGUCAACCACCCGAAAGGGUUGCUAAUUCCGCAUAAAUUCUGAGGAAGAAAGCUGUUGACCUAUGAAUAUUCCUAGCGCUUUUUGAUCGGCCUAUGUCGUUUUAGCUAGUUGGUCAGGUAAAGGCUCACCAAGGCGAAGAUCUGUAGCGGGUCUGAGAGGAUGAUCAGCCACACUGGAACUGAGACACGGCCCAGACUCCUACGGGAGGAAGCAGUGGGGAAUAUUGGACAAUGGGGGAAAGCCUGAUCCAGCCAUGCCGCGUGUAUGAAGAAGGCCUUAGGGUUGUAAAGUACUUUUGUUAGGGAAGAAAAGUAAGAUGUGAAUAAUGGCUGAUAAUGACGGUACCAAAAGAAUAAGCACCGGCUAACUACGUG